AAUUUUACCUGGCUGGGGAGACAUCAUGAUCAGAAAGGUGAUUUUCCCAUGAUGAGGAUCACCCAUUGCACUCAAGUUGUACUGACCCCUGCGAUUUCCCCAAAUGUGGGAAACUUAACUGCAUAAUUUGUGAUAGUGAGGGACUGCAUCCAUGCUCUACCCUG